UACGAAGGGUGCUAGCGUUGCUCGGAAUCACUGGGCGUAAAGGGUGCGUAGGCGGGUCUUUACGUCAGGGGUGAAAUCCUGGAGCUCAACUCCAGAACUGCCUUUGAUACUGAAGAUCUUGAGUUCGGGAGAGGUGAGUGGAACUGCGAGUGUAGAGGUGAAAUUCGUAGAUAUUCGCAAGAACACCAGUGGCGAAGGCGGCUCACUGGCCCGAUACUGACGCUGAGGCGCGAAAGCGUGGGGAGCAAACAGG
rnacentral:rRNA from 1 species